UACGUAGGGAGCAAGCGUUGUCCGGAUUCACUGGGUGCAAAGGGCGCGCAGGCGGGUUGGCAAGUCAGAGGUGAAAUCUCACAGCUUAACUGUGAAACUGCCUUUGAUACUUCCAAUCUUGAGUUAAAGAGAGGUUGAUGGAAUUUCAGGUGUAGCGGUGAAAUGCGUAGAUAUCUGAAAGAACACCAGUGGCGAAGGCGGUCAACUGGCUUUUAACUGACGCUCAGGCACGAAAGCGUGGGUAGCGAACAGG
rnacentral:rRNA from 1 species